rnacentral:tRNA from 1 species
UCCCCGGUAGCUCAGUGGUAGAGCAGGUGACUGUUAAUCACUUGGUCGGCAGUUCGAACCUGUCCCGGGGAGCAA